UAGAACCUUUGUUUGGCAAAGCCAUGCCUGUCCAGUUUAGCAUACAAGAGAAAAGACCCAAAAACUGGCAUAUUGGGAGCAUAACUUUCUAUGAGGUUAACAUCAUGUACAAGUAGCAAUAUCUCAGCUCAACCUGUGCUGCUUCACCCGAUGUUGUAAACCUUCACUAUCUUGGACGUAUCACAGACAAUUAGGUUCUCUGAGUCAGUAGGAGUUGUGCACAGCCAAUUUACUUUUCUGCUCAAACUCAAGCUAGAACAAAGGAAAUCGGUGCCACUGCUAGUCUCACCAGCCAUGAAAAACUUGGACCAAUCCCAUACUUUUACUUGUCUGUCAUUUCCACCUGAAAUUAUGAACUUCCCUUUGUCCCCAAAUGUGGAGAAAGUCAAGAUACAGCAGCAGUGUGUCCUCCCAAAGAGUGAUCAAGGUGCAGGUCUCCUCCAUUUUGAUUCUCAAUUUCAGGAUCAGCAGAAGAACCACCAACUUUAGGGGUUGACUUAGAACCUUUCUUGGGUUUAGCCGAACUCUUAGACUUGACAGUAUUGAGCUCUGACUCAACGUUUAUUAUAGAAACAACUCCAUCACCCCUAGCCACAGCACACACCUUCACAAAUCUAUCCACCACAUCAACUUCGGGAAGAGCCAGAGCAUGAACAAAGGCAGGGUUCAAACAUUGUCCCGUAUUCCCUUUAUUUCCUGCGUCAAGUGUGCCGAAGUCCCAAAUCUUCCGCGGCCGUCCCUUGGAGAAGUCCCACAGCACAAAUUUUGAAUCAAGACCCCCAGUAAUGACUUCCCACGGUCUCCAAGGGAUGAAUUGAACACUGCUACAUAU
rnacentral:misc_RNA from 1 species